CCAGACUCCUACGGGAGGCAGCAGUGGGGAAUAUUGCACAAUGGGGGAAACCCUGAUGCAGCGACGCCGCGUGAGCGAUGGAGUAUUUCGGUAUGUAAAGCUCUAUCAGCAGGGAAGAAGAUGACGGUACCUGACUAAGAAGCCCCGGCUAACUACGUGCCAGCAGCCGCGGUAAUACGUAGGGGGCAAGCGCUAUCCGGAUUUACUGGGUGUAAAGGGAGCGUAGACGGCGAUGCAAGCCAGAUGUGAAAGCCCGGGGCUCAACCCCGGGACUGCAUUUGGAACUGUGUGGCUGGAGUGCAGGAGAGGUAAGUGGAAUUCCUAGUGUAGCGGUGAAAUGCGUAGAUAUUAGGAGGAACACCAGUGGCGAAGGCGGCUUACUGGACUGUAACUGACGUUGAGGCCCGAAAGCGUGGGGAGCAAACAGGAUUAGAUACCCGUGUAC
rnacentral:rRNA from 1 species